ACCUGGCAGUACCCCCAUACUACUUCAAAGAAGAUGAUGACAUCAAAGAACUUCCAUGUGGAAUUUGCUACAAAUGUGGCAAAGCUAGCCACUGGGCAGAAACCUGCCCUUGCCUCAACUGCUGCAAACCAUGGACAAGCAGGACAUGGAUGAAGUCAACUGCCAGACUUUGCCAAGACAGGCAUGGUCCUCCUUGACCCCCCAAAUAACUGAACCCCGCAGGCCUGGAUAGGUGGUGCCCAAAGUGGGGCUCGAGGUACAGACUUUUCGCCAGAGCCAGACGGACCAUCUGGUAAAGACCCUGGGAUGUGUGAAAGUGCAGCCGCCGCCGUCCUGCCACUCACAGCAAGGAUUAUGUUGCAUAGAUAGUGCUAUGAACAAACUGAUGGCCAUCCAUUAUCAUCGCCUGGAAACCCAAGACCCACCUGUGGAUCCACCCACCGAGACAACAGACUCAAAUGCAAGCAUGCUACGUUUCUCAAGGCUAAGAGGCCCGGGACCUUUAUGUUUCUGUGAGCUGUGGAGCAGAUGCCAAUGACGAGUUUAUUGAGGUACCACAUGCCCAGCCCACUGACCUAACAAUCAUCAGACCUCUAUGAUGGGAUUAUUGAGAGGCCAUUCCUCGGGUGCCCACCACCCCUUAUAAGAUUAAUCCGGUGGUUACGACCCUCAGGCCGUGGGCCUGUGUGCGUAUCAGUCAACCGGGGUGGUGCCGAGGAUGCAACUCUCAUAGCCUAAGACACAGGGUUCUCUUUACCUGCGGACAAGAUUGGCUGUGGACAAAUACCUCAUAGCCUAAGACAGACCCUCCACCUGCCUCAUUUCUAUACUAGAGAGGGGGAGAUGUUGGGAGCCAAGGCAUGGCCACCCGACCCCCUGCCCCUCAACUAGCCUGAGAACUGCCUGACAUUCACCUUGGCUAAAAACAUCCUGUGCCUGUUUACCAAGAGGCAGUAUACCAAGACUAAAUGUUCCAGACCCCCUGCCAACAUCCGUCAGAUGGACAACCCUGGAGUGAACUCAUUGUUCUCUGCCCCUCCCCUUUUCCGUUUUUUGUAAAGUGUAUAUUGAGCAGCUUGCUCUAAGUAAAGUAGACCUUGACAAACCUUUGAAGGGUCUCCUCCUCUCUCUCACCCAUUCUUCCCCACAGGCAUGGUCCCCCUUGAUCCCCCAAAUAACUGAACCCCGCAGGCUGGGAUAAUUGUCAAUGACUGGUCCAAAAAGCAAGUAAACAAAAAGCAACCUACCAGAAUUUCAUGAAUUUUCUAUAGCCCAUGUCUACAAGGAGUUCCUUGUCACUGUCUAAAUUGUCUUUAA